AGUGAAAUUGCUGGGGCAUAUGGUAACACUUUAAAUUUUUGAGGAACUGCCAACCUUUUUCCCACAGCAGCUGUACUAUUUAC
rnacentral:miRNA from 1 species